CCUACGGGAGGCAGCAGUGGGGAAUAUUGGGCAAUGGAGGAAACUCUGACCCAGCGACGCCGCGUGCGGGAUGAAGGCCUUCGGGUUGUAAACCGCUUUCAGUAGGGAAGAAGCGAAAGUGACGGUACCUACAAAAGAAGCACCGGCUAACUAUGUGCCAGCAGCCGCGGUAAUACAUAGGGUGCAAGCGUUGUCCGGAAUUAUUGGGCGUAAAGAGCUCGUAGGUCGUUUGUUACGUCGGAUGUGAAAACCUGAGGCUCAACCUCAGGCCUACAUUCGAUACGGGCAAACUAGAGUUUGGUAGGGGAGACUGGAAUUCCUGGUGUAGCGGUGGAAUGCGCAGAUAUCAGGAGGAACACCAAUGGCGAAGGCAGGUCUCUGGGCCAAUACUGACACUGAGGAGCGAAAGUCUGGGGAGCGAACAGGAUUAGAUACCCUGGUAGUCCAGACCGUAAACGGUGGGCACUAGUUGUGGGAACCUUCCACGGUUUCUGCGACGCAGCUAACGCAUUAAGUGCCCCGCCUGGGGAGUACGAUCGCAAGNUUAAAACUCAAAGGAAUUGACGGCUGAAGNGNGCGAGCGACACGAGGAGAG
rnacentral:rRNA from 1 species